GUCCAUUUGUGGGCUGCCCCACACUUGUGGGGCUGGAGGGGGUCGGUCCUGCCGUGGGUCACACCGUGGUCCCGCUGUGGGUCGCUCCGUGGGGCUCCUGUGGGUCCCGCCGUGGGUCUGACCCACAUCUUCCUGUGGCUGCCGCUGUGGGUCAGUCCGUGUCCUACUUGUGGGUCAGACCCCCCACUUAUGGGUCAGUCCGUGUCCUACUUGUGGGUCAGACCCCCCACUUGUGGGUCAGUCCGGGUCCUACUUGUGGGUCAGACCCCCCACUUAUGGGUCAGUCCGUGUCCUACUUGUGGGUCAGACCCCCCACUUGUGGGUCAGUCCGCCUCCUACUUGUGGGUCAGAGCCCCACUCGUGGGUCACCCCCUGCCCCACUUGGGGGUCGGUGCUGCGCCGUGGCUCAAUCCGUGUCCUACUUGUGGGUCAGACCCCCCCCCACUUAUGGGUCAGACCCCCCCCACUUAUGGGUCACCCCCUGCCCCACUGCCAGCUCAGUCCGUUCUCCGCCCCGUCCCUCGCCGUCCCUCCGUGGGUCCGGGCCUCCGUGGGGCGGCGGCGCCGUGGGGCAGCGGUGGGGGGGUCACUGUGGGGCGCCGUGGGGCGGCGCCGUGGGGCAGAGCUCGAGGGAAAGGGCCUCGAAAGCCUCCAACAUGGCGGCGCGGACCCGCUCCGUCAGCGCCGGGACGUCCGUGGGGCCCAGCCCCCGCGUGGGGAGGGGGGGCAGCACCUGGAUGACGCACUCACCUGGGGGGCAGGAUGUGGGGCUGACCCAUAGCGACCCAUAGAUCCGCCCCAUAGCGACCCAUAGCUGCCCCAUAGCGACCCAUAGCGACCCAUAGAUCCAGCCCCUAAGGCUGCCCCAUAGCGCCCCUGCCCCCCAACCUCGUCGUCAGCAACAACCAGAGGUCCCCUGAACUCCUGGGUAGGGCUGCCCCAUAGAUCCGCCCCAUAGCGACCCA
rnacentral:lncRNA from 1 species